UGAGUAAUGUCUGGGAAACUGCCUGAUGGAGGGGGAUAACUACUGGAAACGGUAGCUAAUACCGCAUAACGUCGCAAGACCAAAGUGGGGGACCUUCGGGCCUCAUGCCAUCAGAUGUGCCCAGAUGGGAUUAGCUAGUAGGUGAGGUAAUGGCUCACCUAGGCGACGAUCCCUAGCUGGUCUGAGAGGAUGACCAGCCACACUGGAACUGAGACACGGUCCAGACUCCUACGGGAGGCAGCAGUGGGGAAUAUUGCACAAUGGGCGCAAGCCUGAUGCAGCCAUGCCGCGUGUAUGAAGAAGGCCUUCGGGUUGUAAAGUACUUUCAGCGAGGAGGAAGGCAUUAAGGUUAAUAACCUUGGUGAUUGACGUUACUCGCAGAAGAAGCACCGGCUAACUCCGUGCCAGCAGCCGCGGUAAUACGGAGGGUGCAAGCGUUAAUCGGAAUUACUGGGCGUAAAGCGCACGCAGGCGGUCUGCCAAGUCGGAUGUGAAAUCCCCGGG
rnacentral:rRNA from 1 species